UCUGUCGGUGAAUUACAAUUUCUAAUGCAAUAAUAGAUUAUCCAGUGCGAGUUAUCUGCCGAUGCAAACACAACAGACAGUCGAUAGUAAUAUUUCAACACAAUUUGACUUGAAAGAGAGCAACCAUGGCAUCAAAACAAGAAGAAGAAGAAAAAUUAAAAGUAUGGAAGGAAGUAUUCGAUCUUUUUGAUACCAAUAAAGACAACCAUAUCUGCACCACGGAACUAGGGAAAGUUUUACGAGGAUUAGAUUUAAACCCAACAGAGAAAGAACUAAAUGAAAUACGAGAUCAGUUGGAUACAAAUAAAAAUAAAGUUAUUGAAUUUGAUGAAUUUGUUGGAUUGAUGAAGAAAAAACAAAGAACUAGAGAAGAUGAACAGAAUGAUAUGUUGCGGGCUUUCAAGAUAGUGGAUCGCGACAGUAAUAAUUUUAUUGAUAAAUACGAGUUAAAACGACUGAUGACUAAACUGGGAGAAGCUUUAACAGAAGAACAAGUGGAUUUAAUGAUUAAAGUUGGAGAUUUAAACCGAGAUGGUAAAAUAGAUUAUAAUGAGUUUGUGAAGUUUUUGUUACAGCCAUGUCUGUAGUGGAAGUCGUCUGCUCAAUUACGUCAUAGAUUAAUUUUAGUAUAGUUGUUAUUUUAUAAGAGCAUAUUAUGUCUCCAAUGGAGAGUCUUCAUAAAUCCCUGUACUUCUGUAGUUCUGCUCACCUCCACAUUAAAACAUUACUUUAAUUAAGAAACAAAUGUCUGCUUUUAUUAAUUUAAAAAGCUUAAAAUACUCACAUCAGUUUAAAAUUGCACUUUGUUCCCCAACACCAAGGAUUUUGAACUUUGACCUCAUCAUGACCAUUCAUUUCUUGCCACAGUUCUAGUUCACUUGAUGAUAAAGGUAACAAAUAAUUGCAUAAAUACAUUUUUAUGUCGCAUUAUAUUUCGUCGUCACAGUUUUUAAAUUUUGCCCUUGUAUUCGCAUUAAUUUAAUGCAUUCUGUUUGCGGGGGGGGGGGGGGGUAUUUCACAAUCUUUUAAAUUAUCUCGUUCACCUUUGGAGCACCCAUAUAGUAUAUCUUUAAAAUGUUUGUCAUCACAAAAUGCGUGAUAUAAAUAUUAAUUGACUAUCUCGAUUUUUCUAUGUUGCAAUUUGUUGCUAAAUCAAAUCAGAAAUUUUAUUAUUCUUAUUCAAUAUUUUGAAAAAUAAUAAUAGAAAUACGCACAAAAUAUUUGUAUUACACAAUUCGGCGUGUAAUUGUAUUUCUGACAAGGCCAAUUAUGUCAUAUUAUGAUGAUUUUCAAAUUUGAUUUAAAGAUGCAUUAAAUUUAAGAAAUCAGGGUUAUACGUUUUCUGUCAUAGUUCUUUUGUAGUUGCCUCCCCUAGUUGAUAUUAUAUAUAAAUUAUUUGUAUAUAAUACACUGUCAUGUUUAAAAUUAUUAUUGUAAUAAAAUACACGAUAAAAUAUU